CCUACGGGGGGCAGCAGUGAGGAAUAUUGGUCAAUGGACGAGAGUCUGAACCAGCCAUGCCGCGUGCAGGAUGACUGCCCUAUGGGUUGUAAACUUCUUUUAUAUGGGAGUAAAAUGUUCCACGUGUGGGCUUUUGUAUGUACCAUACGAAUAAGGAUCGGCUAACUCCGUGCCAGCAGCCGCGGUAAUACGGAGGAUCCGAGCGUUAUCCGGAUUUAUUGGGUUUAAAGGGAGCGUAGGUGGAUUGUUAAGUUAGUUGUGAAAGUUCGCGGCUGAACCGUGGAAUUGCAGUUGAUACUGGCAGUCUAGAGUACAGUAGAGGUAGGCGGAAUGCAUGGUGUAGCGGUGAAAUGCUUAGAGAUCACGAAGAACACCGAUUGCGAAGGCAGCUCACUGGACUGCAACUGACACUGAGGCUCGAAAGUGUGGGUAGCAAACAGGAUUAGAUACCCUGGUAGUC
rnacentral:rRNA from 1 species